UGGGGAAUAUUGCGCAAUGGGCGAAAGCCUGAUGCAGCAACGCCGCGUGAGUGAUGAAGGCCUUCGGGUUGUAAAGCUCUGUCUUUUGGGACGAUAAUGACGGUACCAAAGGAGGAAGCCACGGCUAACCACGUGCCAGCAGCCGCGGUAAUACGUAGGUGGCAAGCGUUGUCCGGAUUUACUGGGCGUAAAGGAUGCGUAGGCGGAUUUUUAAGUGAGAUGUGAAAUACCCGGGCUUAACUUGGGUGCUGCAUUUCAAACUGGGAAUCUAGAGUGCGGGAGAGGAGAAUGGAAUUUCCUAGUGUAGCGGUGAAAAGUGCGUAGAGAUUAGGAAGAACACCAGUGGCGAAGGCGAUUCUCUGGACCGUAACUGACGCUGAGGCAUGAAAGCGUGGGUAGCAAACAGGAUUAGAUACCCUGGUAGUCCACGCCGUAAACGAUGAGUACUAGGUGUAGGAGGUAUCGACCCCUUCUGUGCCGCAGUUAACACAAUAAGUACUCCGCCUGGGAAGUACGAUCGCAAGAUUAAAAAC
rnacentral:rRNA from 1 species